rnacentral:rRNA from 1 species
GAUGAACGCUGGCGGCGUUGCUUAACACAUGCAAGUCGAACGGGAACUUUUUUAUUGAAGCUUCGGCAGAUUUAGCUGGUUUCUAGUGGCGGACGGGUGAGUAACGCGUGGGUAACCUGCCCUAUACAGGGGGAUAACAACCAGAAAUGGUUGCUAAUACCGCAUAAGCGCACAGGACCGCAUGGUCCGGUGUGAAAAACUCCGGUGGUAUAGGAUGGACCCGCGUUGGAUUAGCCAGUUGGCAGGGUAACGGCCUACCAAAGCGACGAUCAGUAGCCGGCCUGAGAGGGUGAACGGCCACAUUGGGACUGAGACACGGCCCAAACUCCUACGGGAGGCAGCAGUGGGGAAUAUUGCACAAUGGGGGAAACCCUGAUGCAGCGACGCCGCGUGAGUGAUGAAGUAUUUCGGUAUGUAAAGCUCUAUCAGCAGGGAAGAAAGUGACGGUACCUGAAUAAGAAGCCCCGGCUAACUACGUG